GACGAACGCUGGCGGCGUGCCUAAUACAUGCAAGUAGAACGCUGAAGGAGGAGCUUGCUCUUCUGGAUGAGUUGCGAACGGGUGAGUAACGCGUAGGUAACCUGCCUGGUAGCGGGGGAUAACUAUUGGAAACGAUAGUUAAUACCGCAUAACAGUAGAUGUUGCAUGACAUUUACUUAAAAGGUGCAAUUGCAUCACUACCAGAUGGACCUGCGUUGUAUUAGCUAGUUGGUGGGGUAACGGCUCACCAAGGCGACGAUACAUAGCCGACCUGAGAGGGUGAUCGGCCACACUGGGACUGAGACACGGCUCAGACUCCUACGGGAGGCAGCAGUAGGGAAUCUUCGGCAAUGGACGGAAGUCUGACCGAGCAACGCCGCGUGAGUGAAGAAGGUUUUCGGAUCGUAAAGCUCUGUUGUAAGAGAAGAACGAGUGUGAGAGUGGAAAGUUCACACUGUGACGGUAUCUUACCAGAAAGGGACGGCUAACUACGUG
rnacentral:rRNA from 1 species